rnacentral:rRNA from 1 species
AUUGAACGCUGGCGGCAGGCCUAACACAUGCAAGUCGAACGAGUGGCGGACGGGUGAGUAAUAUCUGGGAAACUGCCUGAUGGAGGGGGAUAACUACUGGAAACGGUGGCUAAUACCGCAUACCAUCAGAUGUGCCCAGAUGGGAUUAGCUUGUUGGUGGGGUAAAGGCUCACAAAGGCGACGCUCCCUAGCUGGUCUGAGAGGAUGACCAGCCACACUGGAACUGAGACACGGUCCAGACUCCUACGGGAGGCAGCAGUGGGGAAUAUUGGACAAUGGGCGCAAGCCUGAUGCAGCCAUGCCGCGUGUAUGAUGAAGGCCUUCGGGUUGUAAAGUACUUUCAGCAGGGAGGCGGUACCCGCAGAAGAAGCACCGGCUAACUCCGUGCCAGCAGCCGCGGUAAUUC